rnacentral:rRNA from 1 species
UACGUAGGGGGCAAGCGUUGUCCGGAUUUAUUGGGCGUAAAGAGCGUGUAGGCGGCCAGGUAGGUCUGCUGUGAAAACUCGAGGCUCAACCUCGAGACGUCGGUUGAAACCGUACGGCUAGAGUCCGGAAGAGGAGAGUGGAAUUCCCGGUGUAGCGGUGAAAUGCGCAGAUAUCAGGAGGAACACCGGUGGCGAAGGCGGGUCUCUGGGCCGAUACUGACGCUGAGGAGCGAAAGCGUGGGGAGCGAACAGG